rnacentral:lncRNA from 1 species
GAAGCCUGCCUCUCUAGUUGGAGGUAGCGGCCGGGAGGCAGCCAAAUGGCGACGCUCGCCUCCACUCCCUUCGUUCGUCCAGGCGUCGCCGGCUAUGUGGUAAGCAAAAUAUCUUCUCCUCCCUGCUGAUGUGUUUCCUUCCUGUUUCUUUUUGUCACCUUCCUCCUCCCAUGUCUGUUUGCUCUGCUGCUGCCUCGAUGCGUUCUGUGUUCAACUUGCUUUGCAUCGUUUGGAGAGAUCAUGUUUCGUCCCAUGGCCUCGCUGGUCUAGAUGUCGGCCAGGUUUUUGCCAACAAAACUGAAGCCGGCUCUCUGCGUCGCGUGUACACGGAUUACCCAACACAGAUUUGGGUACAUGGGCGUCCGAUAGGUGGAGGCCCCGGGAGAGGCGCAGGGAUGGGCGUCCGUCGUCGUCGGGCGAGCGCUGCCGGCUGGAUGGCGGAGCAGACAUUGUUGAUGUAGUGCCGGCCGGCGCGCCAGUCAGAACCGGGCGCCAUGCCAGGGUCGGCAGUGGUGUCCGGUCCGGCCGGCGCCGCACGCGCGUUCCAGCCGCCGAGCCGGACACCAAUGCCUCGCCUAGCCUCCGUUCGUCCGUCCGCAGGCGGCAGGUCGCGGUGCAUGAUGCUUUGCUUGUCCACCAGGUGCGUCGUUUUCUACCGCUCCGAGAUUCCUGCAAAACGUAUGCAUGCCAAAGCUGUUACCGCCCGUUUCUCCCAUCCUCUAGACUUUUCCAGCCCGCUUUGACCCCCAGCACAUCUCCAAGGGGCGCCCGGCCGCCCGGCCGCCACCAUGGCUCUGCAACGGACUGAAAAGGCGAGUCAUUGACUGGCCCGAGGAGAGGACAUGCCCGAUAUGGGGCGUAGCACAGUGAUAUUUUUUUCUUUUAGGCAAUGACCGCGGGUGAUAUGACGUAGGCAGCGUGACGUCUCCGUCCGCGAGGGACACUACGCGCCCGGGCGCGCGUGGCCAUUUGAACGGCGCGACGGCCCCAAGCUGCUUAGCUUUGCGCGGCCAGCGAAACCACCGGAGUCCGGAGAGAGGGUAGAAGUGGACGGACGACGCCUUCCCCCUUCCUGGUGUUUGUCCGAGCUAUGUACGCCGCCGCUAGCGCCGUGUGGCGGUGGCCCGCUCCGGCGAGCGCCGGCCAACGGCGGAUCGAUGGGUCAAUUUAUAUUUAGUUGAUUCAGACUGAUUACAUUCAUCUCAGGCAUGCAUCCGCGGCUGGUGACCUCGUGUGCCGCCAUUGCCGGAGGCUGGCUGGGCGUCCGCGGCGCCGGUGUUACAUCUCAGGUGUGGUUUCUUCCUGCUGUCGUCCCGUACUCGUCCCUCGCUGUUCUAAAUUUUCUUGAGGCUUGUGUUUGACAUCUCUCGUCGGUGCUGUUUCCAUCGCAGGGAAAUGUGUGCAUGCCAAGAUUCCUGCGGUUCCGGACUGAUUGGUGAGAUUACAGUUAUAAGGUGGGUCGAUUAGCAAACUCUGCCUACUGAAUGCCUGACUGGUUCAGGUCUUUGCUUGCUGUUUUCAACUAUGUGCCAUGUUCUUACUCCACCCCAUGAUGGCAACACAGCCAACUUAUACCAUCACAAUAUAUUUCUAUUUUCUCUCAAGAUUUUUAUUUAGGGCCACAGAAUGAAAAAUUAUACUACUCUGAGAAAGAUACGUAUAAAAAAAUCAGCAGCAUGGGAUGGAAUGAAAAACCAGUCUUAGAGGUAGCAUCUGCUCUCGUCAGGUUAUAUAAGGUGUGUCCACAUAAACUGAUUUCUCACUCAGCUGCGUAUAAUCUGUGUGGAGAAGACUGACAACAGACUGAUAGGUUAGUAAGAACAUCAAAUAACUUAACAAGGACAUUGCUGGUGUUAACCCACCACCCUUUUAUUGAAAUUUCCCUGCUGGACCUUACAAGCAGCAGCCUUCACAACUCUUUCAUAACCAAUAGCUGGGGAAGAGAUUGGCAUCAGCAGCAGAGCUUUCCUUGUACCAAAUGCAUGCACAUCAUAUGGCUGCUCAAGUCCUUCCUUCCUUCUGUCCCCUAGGACGACCGGAGUUCUCGCCGCUUGCACUCGUUCCCGCACCGCUAUUUCGUUGCGCCAACAUCUGCACUCCAGUGGCAACAAAGCAAAGCUUGUAAAUAAGUCUUUCCACAUGGAUCCAGAUAAUACAGCAAUACCCCGUUUUAAUUUACACGCGAAAUAGCCUUGCAAUAGUCUUUGUGUUGACUGAACUCUCAUGCCAGGUUCUAUUUCAAAAUUUUAAUUUCUUGUUUGCAGGUAACUGACAGGAUAUAUUCUGAUGUCUCCAUUUUGUCUGUCAUUUCAGGCAGCCUGCAAUACAAACAGGCUUACUAAUGCCCUGGAAUAAGCUACACAAUACUCAGAAAAAUGACAACAGAACCAACUUGUCGCUGUCUUAUGGUAAACAUCAAUGGUAGCCUGAUUCUUGUAUAGCCAGAACAUCUUUGACUUCACAUCACAGGACAGUUCAUCCAAGUACAGUUCUACACAAUACAGGUCUAUAGCACAGUAGCACAUCUACCUUUAUUGCUGAAUUUAGAAAAUGUACUAGCAGCUUACUUCCUCUGAGUUGUGCUGAAACAGUGAAACUAUCAAACACAGCCACAUGUAUUGUGAAUUAGCCAGUGAGUUCUUUUUUCAAUGUAUUUUACCUAUCAUUUACCAAGAUAUAGGAACUGACACGUUCAGGACCAUUAAGAGUCUAGAUGCAACUACAUCAUUGAACUGUCUGUUGUGCUUGAGAAUAGUCAAUCCAAAUGAAAAAUAUAUGCCGUACACCAUCAGGUAGGAGAUUUUUUUGGUAAGGAACCAUGGAUUGCUUAUGUCUAGUUGGAGUGUCAAGAGCGAGACUGGAGCAACUAAGAUCAUGCUAAAACUGUGAACUGCCUAAUUAAUGAAAAUGGCUGAAAACAGAGCAUUUUCUGAUGGUGCA